GGGAGGGAAUGUGGGGCGCCUUGCCGGGGAAGUUCCAGCUCUUGAACGGAUAUUAUGGUGGUUUGGAUGAAAAAUCUGGUGCUUUAACCGUGAGGUUGGGCGCCUUGUCCGCCUCAGGGGGGUUCCAGCACAGUGGGGCCUGUCCCUCUGUGAAACCCCAUGCCCUUCACUGGGAGUGGCGGGGAAACCGGAUUUUUUUUUUGAAAAAAUUAGAGUGCUCCAGGCAGGCCUAUGCUCAAAUACAUUACCAUGGAAUAAUAUAAUAGGACGUGUGGUUCUAUUUUGUUGGUUUCUAGGACCGCCGUAAUGAUUAAUAGGGACAGUCGGGGGCAUCACUAUUCAAUUGUCAGAGGUGAAAUUCUUGGAUUUAUUGAAGACUAACUACUGCAAAAGCAUUUGCCAAGGAUGUUUUCAUUAAUCGCGAACGAAAGUUAUGGGAUCUAAUACGAUCAGAUACCGUCGUAUUCUUAACCAUAAACUAUGCCGACUAGGGAUCGGACGAUGUUAUUUUUUGACUCGUUUGGUACCUUACAGGAAAC
rnacentral:rRNA from 1 species